GAAAGUCAGAGGCUCGAAGACGAUCAGAUACCGUCCUAGUUCUGACCAUAAACGAUGCCAACUGACGAUCCGUGGUGGUAGUGAUGUUGCC
rnacentral:rRNA from 1 species